ACUGUCUAAAAAUCACUCAAGGCUUGUUCUGUGGCUUGAGGUGAGACCAUGGUGCCCACUGUGACCAGGGGUCUUUAAGCUUACCACCCACAGACUGAGUGUGGAGGAUAAAACCUAGACCUCAACAAUU